AGAGCACCCCUGUCUGCCACUGAUACCUCAAGAACCAUUGAGUCUGCUGGAUCUUAUGGUCCACGUGGUAAAGCAGCCUGGACCUGUUGAAGAGCCUUUACCUGUUCCAAGUCCCACUCAAAGCUAGCAGCCUGCCAAGUCACUGUCAGCACUCGGCCAACUGCUGGCUGGUGACAUUGGGAUCCAGUUCAUAUGCCAAGAGAUGGGCUCCCUAUUUCACUCAGCCAACAACCCAACAAGCGACUCUCUCGGAUCUCCUAACAUUUAUAUAUCCUCCGGAAAGUCUCCAGAAUUCCAAAUGUCACCCAACCGCAGAAACUAUCUGCAGCAGGCAAAAAUCACACCCCUGCUAGAGCACGAGACAAAACCUAGUCAGUCGCUGUGGACAAUUGGAAGCAGCCCCAGCUCCCCACAUCAAUUACAAUAAAGACCUACAAACAA